UAAGGCAGUGGCCAGUGUCGAUAGCCGG
rnacentral:piRNA from 1 species